UGCCAGCCGCCGCGGUAAUACGGAGGGUGCGAGCGUUAAUCGGAAUUACUGGGCGUAAAGCGUACGCAGGCGGUUGAUUAAGCUAGAUGUGAAAGCCCCGGGCUCAACCUGGGAACUGCAUUUAGAACUGGUCGACUAGAGUAUGAUAGAGGGUGGUAGAAUUUCAGGUGUAGCGGUGAAAUGCGUAGAUAUCUGAAGGAAUACCGAUGGCGAAAGCAGCCACCUGGGUCAAUACUGACGCUCAUGUACGAAAGCGUGGGGAGCAAACGGGAUUAGAUA
rnacentral:rRNA from 1 species